AGCGAACGCUGGCGGCGGGCUUAACACAUGCAAGUCGAACGGAAAGGCACUGCUUGUGUGGGGUGCUCGAGUGGCGAACGGGUGAGGAACACGAAAGUAACCUGCCCUUGACUUUGGGAUAGCUUCAGGAAGCUGGGGCUAAUACCGUAUAGGAGCUCCUGCUGCAUGGUGGGGGUUGGAAAGUUUCGGCGGGUGGGGAUGGACUCGCGGCUUAUCAGCUUGUUGGUGGGGUAGUGGCUUACCAAGGCUUUGACGGAUAGCCGGCCUGAGAGGGUGACCGGCCUCCUGGGGCCUGCGAGACGGCCCAGUGUGCUACGGGAGGCAGCAGUGGGGAAUCUUACACAAUCGGCGCAAGUCGGAUGCAGCAACCUUCCGGGCGUGAAGCCCGUUUGUUGGGUGAAAACCGCUUUAGCCUGUGACGACGCGUGAGUGACGGUAACCGGUAAAGAAGCACCGGCUAACUACGUG
rnacentral:rRNA from 1 species